rnacentral:snRNA from 1 species
UCGAUCAGAACCUGUCGAGA